rnacentral:rRNA from 1 species
UACGUAGGGUGCAAGCGUUAUCCGGAAUUAUUGGGCGUAAAGAGCUCGUAGGCGGUUUGUCGCGUCUGCUGUGAAAACUGGAGGCUCAACCUCCAGCCUGCAGUGGGUACGGGCAAACUAGAGUGCGGUAGGGGAGAUUGGAAUUCCUGGUGUAGCGGUGAAAUGCGCAGAUAUCAGGAGGAACACCGAUGGCGAAGGCAGGUCUCCUGGGCCGAUACUGACGCUGAGGAGCGAAAGCGUGGGGAGCGAACAGG